AAGUAACUGCUGUUUCUCUCAUUUCCUGUAGUGUCCAGAUUCAGCAUGCAAGCAGGAUCUGUUGGCCUAUCUGCAGCGUAUAGCCCUUUACUGUCACCAGCUCAAUAUCUGCAGUAAAGUCAAAGCAGAGGUGCAAAAUCUGGGCGGAGAGCUUGUGGUGUCUGGGGUAGACAGUGCUAUGUCUCUGAUCCAGGCAGCCAAGAAUCUGAUGAAUUCUGUGGUGUCCACUGUGAAGGCCUCCUACGUGGCCUCCACCAAGUACCAGAAGUCUCAAGGAAUGCAAAACCUCAACAUGCCCGCCAUCUCCUGGAGGAUGAAAGCUCCCGAAAAGAAGCCGCUGGUCAAGCGUGAGAAGCAAGACGAUGGCCAGACCAACAAAGUGAAGCGGUCCUCUCAAAAGAAGCACGUCAACCCUGUGCAGGCCCUAAGCGAGUUCAAAGCAAUGGAUAGUAUUUAAGCAGCCUUCAUUUCAUUAGAUUAUGUUUCAGAUGUAGAUUGAGCCUUAAAAUCAGUCAGAUUUAGCAAGUACACAUUUAAUCGCAUUCCUGUACCUUAGUCACCAAUCUGCUCUUUUUCCAUAAGCAGUGGCUUUGCUGAGUGCACUGAGAGGUCUAUAUAGCAAAUGUUGUAUUUUUACACACGAAUGCAUUAAUCUGCUCAAUCUUUACACAGGUUUUCUUCCCGAUUACAGGUAGGGGCAUACAUUAAAUUCUGGGCAUUCCCUGACAGUUUGAGUGCGUUUCCCCUUUUUCUAGAUGACUAUUGUGUAUUUUUUUAAAAAAACAUUUAAGUGUAUUUUACAAGAAGACUUUUAUAUAUUUCACACUAAGGCCUUUGAUAUUGCUCAUUACUGUCUGAUUUUUGUUUUUCUUUUCCAUUUUUCAUGCCUAUGCAAACUCUCACUGUAACACUUGCAAUACUUGUGUUUUGGUAUGAAACUAUAAAAGGAAAAAUAGGCUUUGAUUUAGUGUCUCAAGACCAAAGUCAUUGUAUUUUGCUGUGCCUAAUAAACUUUUUGAUAACUUUUUGUUUUGCUUUGAUUAAAUGUAAAAUAGACUAAUUUUGGUGAAUAUUAAUACUUUA